CCAAAUAUAUGCUGAGAUUUUGAAGUGAAAAUACUCUCCCAAAGUUUAUUCAAGCACCCACCAUAUUUACUUCAUCUUUAAAACCUUCGAUUCUUCAUAUACUUCGUUAUAUACACAAGGUUUUAAACCCCGAGGCUUCGUACCACCCAACCUAGCCAAAUCUCGCCUAGCUCAUUUUCAUACCACUCUUUUUGUCCUCCCGAAGGGCUCUCCAAAGUUCGUGUGCAAAGCCAAAAUCCGGUCGAACCUCCGACGAAUUUUUCCAGACGAACUUUUUGUAAGUGGUUAUUUUAGCUUCGUUUUACUCGUGUUUUAACCGACCAUUUUUGACAAUGGGCUUUUGAACAAAAAUACUCUCUUCAUCUUUAAAGCUCUCUUUGUUUACAAAACACACGAGUUAGCCACUCGUUAUAUAUUUGUGCGUGUGUUUUGUCCCGGAACCUAACUCGUAUCCUUUGAGAUUUCCUCACCAAACUUUGGAGGGAUCUUUGCCUUGGCACGGAAAGCCGGAUAUAAGGCCAAAGGUAAUAAGUUAGUUAUUGUUGUGCGUGUUAUCUGUGCUUAACUGAUUAUAUCCCUACGCCCAACAUACCCUUUCUCGUUUGGUGAACGUUUCCAUAUGUGCCGUGCUUCGUGGAAAUACUAACCUUACGAGUUACGUGGUUCCCGAUCCCGUGUGUGUGAGUGUGAUUAUCGACUGCGUCUUAUAUCUAUAAAUCACUCAACACUAAUUAAUAUAACUCUCGUAGCUUGCCCGUACGCGGUUUGCUCAGGUUAUUAAAAUCAAUCCGAUUUAAAAUCAACUAUUUAUAUUUUCCGCGCGAUAUAAAUUGUUGGACUAAUCACCGUUAGUGUUGUUAUAAUUGACGAACCUUAUACCUGACCGUGAUUAUUGGACUGACUUAGCGGACUAAAAUCUUAAUUAAAACAAGGAUAUAUUUUCGUAGAUAUUGUGUUCUAACUUUUGCAGUGAGGUGAAGUGAAGUGAGGUGAUCUUCGUUCUAAGACCCAAGUCCUUGACGUAUUGACGGGGAGUUAAUAGUCAUUGCACCGUGAAGAAGAGGAAAGACCCGAGAUCUAAUACCUAAGACCCGAGACCGGCAAAAGGUGUAGAAGUACAAAGACUACACAAGGUUCUACAUCGACUUUGAGGAAGUAACGGGGAGUUACGUUCCGAGACAAGCUUUGUAGGUGUUUUUACAUUUAUAGUGAGGAGGUAACGGGAAGUUACGCUCCAAGAUAUAUAUUUGUAAAGGCUUCUCCGCCUACUUUAAAGGAGUAUCUUUUUAGUAGAGAAAAUCUCGAGUCCGGGGAGGAGCUCGGGGACUGGACUAGGGGUGAGUGGACUCCAUCGGUUGAGUUAGCCACCGCGAACCAGGAUAAAAUCCCUCGUGUGGUAUUUUUCUUUCUUUGCUUUUUGCUUCCGCAUUUGCAACUGCCUUUACUCUAGAUACAAGCUUUUAAAAAGGGGAUAAACUUUUUAAAACGCCAUAAAGUUUUUAAACUGGUGAUUAAGCUAUUCAACCCCCCCUUCUAGCCUAAUUAUCCCUAUAUACGGACCUAACAAUAUCAUUCUGUUCUAUUUUUCUAAUUUUCUGGAAUUUUUUGAUGAAAUAUAUCAAAAAUUAGAACUACCUUUUUUAGUUUUGGGUAUAUUAGAAGCAAGUUUCAGAAUCGGGUUUUGUUUCAAAUUAUUUAUGGAAUAUAGUAGCUUGAAAAUUUUAAUAUACCUAAGACCCGAGACCGGCAAAAGGUGUAGAAGUACAAAGACUAAACAAGGUUCUACAUCGACUUUGAGGAAGUAACGGGGAGUUACGUUCCGAGACAAGCUUUGUAGGUGUUUUUACAUUUAUAGUGAGGAGGUAACGGGAAGUUACGCUCCAAGAUAUAUAUUUGUAAAGGCUUCUCCGCCUACUUUAAAGGAGUAUCUUUUUAGUAGAGAAAAUCUCGAGUCCGGGGAGGAGCUCGGGGACUGGACUAGGGGUGAGUGGACUCCAUCGGUUGAGUUAGCCACCG
rnacentral:lncRNA from 1 species